UACGAAGGGGGCUAGCGUUGCUCGGAAUCACUGGGCGUAAAGGGUGCGUAGGCGGGUCUUUAAGUCAGGGGUGAAAUCCUGGAGCUCAACUCCAGAACUGCCUUUGAUACUGAGGAUCUUGAGUUCGGAAGAGGUGAGUGGAACUGCGAGUGUAGAGGUGAAAUUCGUAGAUAUUCGCAAGUACACCAGUGGCGAAGGCGGCUCACUGGUCCGAUACUGACGCUGAGGCACGAAAGCGUGGGGAGCAAACAGG
rnacentral:rRNA from 1 species